UACGUAGGGGGCAAGCGUUGUCCGGAAUCAUUGGGCGUAAAGAGCGUGUAGGCGGCCCGAUAAGUCCGCUGUGAAAGUCCAGGGCUCAACCCUGGAAUGCCGGUGGAUACUGCCGGGCUCGAAUCCGGAAGAGGCGAGUGGAAUUCCUGGUGUAGCGGUGAAAUGCGCAGAUAUCAGGAGGAACACCAAUUGCGAAGGCAGCUCGCUGGGACGUUACUGACGCUGAGACGCGAAAGCGUGGGGAGCAAACAGG
rnacentral:rRNA from 1 species